AAUAGAUACCCGGUAGUCCACGCCGUAAACGGUGGACACUAGGUGUGGGCGACAUUCCACGUCGUCCGUGCCGCAGCUAACGCAUUAAGUGCCCCGCCUGGGGAGUACGGCCGCAAGGCUAAAACUCAAAGGAAUUGACAGGGGCCCGCACAAGCGGCGGAGCAUGUGGCUUAAUUCGACGCAACGCGAAGAACCUUACCAAGGCUUGACAUACACCGGAAACGUCCAGAGAUGGGCGCCCCCUUGUGGUCGGUGUACAGGUGGUGCAUGGCUGUCGUCAGCUCGUGUCGUGAGAUGUUGGGUUAAGUCCCGCAACGAGCGCAACCCUUGUCCCGUGUUGCCAGCAGGCCCUUGUGGUGCUGGGGACUCACGGGAGACCGCCGGGGUCAACGUCGGAGGAAGGUGGGGACGACGUCAAGUCAUCAUGCCCCUUAUGUCUUGGGCUGCACACGUGCUACAAUGGCCGGUACAAUGAGCUGCGAUACCGCGAGGUGGAGCGAAUCUCAAAAAGCCGGUCUCAGUUCGGAUUGGGGU
rnacentral:rRNA from 1 species